rnacentral:lncRNA from 1 species
GAGUCCACCUCAGUCAUCCCCCCACCAAGAUUGUUCAAAGCCCUUGUUCUUGAAGCUGACACCCUCAUCCCCAAGAUUGCUCCCCAAUCAGUGAAAAGUGCUGAAAUUGUUGAAGGAGAUGGAGGUGUUGGAACCAUCAAGAAGAUUAGCUUUGGUGAAGGUUGGUUUCUGUCAUUGCCUCUUCUAAGUUUAACUUGUUUGCCUAAUUAAUAACAUAAAUCUUGAAAGCAUUAAUCUCUUAAUUUCUAAUUAUAAUCCUCAUUUUACAGGAAGUCAUUACAGCUAUGUGAAGCACCGGAUCGACGGGCUUGACAAAGAUAACUUUGUGUACAGCUACAGUUUGGUUGAAGGAGAUGCUCUUUCAGACAAGGUUGAGAAAAUCAGUUAUGAGAUUAAGUUGGUGGCAUCUGCUGAUGGAGGUUCCAUCAUAA